CCACAGAAUGUACAUUCUUCUCAGCACCGCAUCAUACUUAUUCUAAAAUUGACCACAUAAUUGAAAGUAAAACACUUCUUAGCAAAUACCAUCUGUAUUAUGAAGACUAUGACUCUUAUCAUUGAUUCUUAUUUUCUCAUGGGACCUAUCAAGUUCAAGUGACUUAAUAUUAUACAAUUUAACUUAUUUUUCUGCAGCAGCACACCCAGAUGGGGAAGAACCGAUGGUGCUCUUGACAUGAUCAGAACUCUCCAGGGGCACUGUCUUUAUUUUCUUGUGUAUGUGCAUGCACCCACGAGAGCUUUAAAAAUUUAUGGGGCCCCUGGGCUGCUGGCUAAGCAGCUCUCCCGCCUCAGACCCAGACAAUGUUGUAGCUGUAUACAUUUGCUGGGAAGAGGAGUCAGUCUAGCUGGAAGGCUAUUGUUGUUAUGCAAAUUGCAAAAGGAGACUUUUAAGCUACAAUGUUGUAAAAGGGCUGAGAGUAGGUGGCAGCUUAAGGCUCCAGCAUGAGCUUAAUGGUUGUAAUGAAUCCAAUGGAAAAGGACCAAGUUUGCUGCUUCAAGACCCACGUUCCACCUUCAGCUGUAAACUAUGCUGCAUGUACUGCACUUGCCUGAAAUAAAGCACUGUCUUUUCUUCUUCUAAAGAGUCCUUUAGAUGUGUUUUAUUUUACCAGAAGCCCAUUUCCUCAACUUAAAGUAAUGAUUAACAACAACUAAGGCUUUUUCUCAGUGUGGUUGGAUUUGGUCGUUUUGGGAUUCAGGGUGGAUGUAGAAAAAAGUUUGUGUGUUGUGCAUAAUCUGGGUCACGUAGAGUGUGUGGAUGCCUUCCUCAGUAUUCACAGGGAGCAGUUACACAGGAUCUGAGGGAGAAACAGCUCUGGUGACCACUCAAUCCCCUCUCCUCCUUUUCCAGGGACACCUUACGUCUUUCUCUCUGAAAGUGAACUGAAAUCUAAUACCCUGUAACCUCCACCCUUUGUUUCUAUAGGAUUUCCAUCCUCCCAGGACACACAGAACAAGGUUAAUCCUUCUUGCAAAUAUCAGGUCUUCAAGUAUUUACAGACAGCUAAGUUGUAAGCUGUCUUCCCUUUCAGGUGGGGAUCCCCCCACUCCUCUUAGGAAGUGGUUUCCAGUUUCAUUCUCUUGUCUUUGGAGAACUUAAGCCAGAGAGAGGCUGCAACCACAACAUUGAGGGCCUGGAACCCUGAACCAUGUCUCAGGAGGAGUAAAUAAAGAUUUGUUGCAUGGAACUCUCACCUCCUUCAUCCUAGAUAAUAUACCUCUGGUAAUGCAGUCUCUUCUCCCAGUAGUUCUUUUGGCAGCCACGGCACCUCGUUAAUGUGUGUGUUAAAAUGCCCCCGUCUUCAUCUGUGGUGCUGUUGAUCAAUCUCUUUCUCACUCUGCAUUUCUGUAGUUUUGAAGCUAGGUAUGGGGGUUUUUGAAUAAUCCUUAUUACUGGAUGUUGCCUCUCUGCUCCACGGUACCUCCUGUCAUUGUCUGGUCAAGCCGGGCUUCCCGAUUUAUGGGAGAACUUGGGCUCAGAGGGAGGCUAUGAGGGGCCCCAAGAGAAUGCCAGCCAAGGCCCUGCCUGGUGUAACCCUGCCAGCACCUGGCCUUUGGAUAGAACUGGGAGGCUGGGAAGGAGGUGAUGAGAGGCACAAACUCUGGUUCUCUGCCUUUACCUCUCAGUCCAGAAGUGGCCACUGGAUUCCUUUGUAUGUUUUCUCUCUUCUAGUAAAUAAAGAGGAGACUUCUCCUCUCACUGGCGUGCAUAGACUACCUGAGGGUCAGGCUUGGCUUGCCUGGUCUUCUAAUCAUUGACUUUCUUGUUAGUUGGAUUCUCCUAACGUUUUCUUCAGUUAAAAAUAUUCCACAUUUCCUUUCCCUCAGUCUUGUUGCAAAUUGCCAGUAAUUUUGGAGUCCUGUUAAAUGACUUGUACUUUUUAUAAAUUUGCUUCCCCCCCGCAAUCUGGAGAAAGAGAAGAGGAAUUACUUGAAUACCUACUAUGUCUCAGGGCUAGGCUGAAGCUUCUCAUUCAUCAUCCUGUCUGCCCUUUAACAGUCCUGCAAUGGUGGUGGUGCAAAUUUCCAUUUUAGAGUUGGAGACAGUUGAGAUUGUGAGCUUCACAUACCCAGGGUCACGCAGCUGAAGAAUAGGGGCGUGAAGAUAAGGACCCAGGGCACUGUCCCACCUGUCCUACCAGGGUGAGGAGCUUUGUGCUAAACUCUGGCCCAUCAGAAACCACCUGGGGGACAUAAGUACCCAUGGGUACAACCAUUUCAAAGAUCCUUACUCAGACCAGAACAUUUAGCACAAAACCAAAACCCACGGAAAUAUCAAAAGGAAUAAAAAUAUCAUGUUAAUGUUAAGAAAAAUUAUUUAAAAUUUGGAAAUAAGGCCUAAAGGUAACAACAGCAUGUAGUUCUUCAAAUGUUAGCCAGAGUCAUUGAUUAACAAGUCUACCCAGGGGUUAUUUGUUUAGGGUGUCAUAGCUGGCUUUGUUUUUAGCUUUUAAAAAAUAACAGCUUUGCAGCCAGGCGUGGUGGCCCACACCUAUAA